AAUGAACGCUGGCGGCAGGCUUAACACAUGCAAGUCGAACGAGAAACCGGAGCUUGCUCCGGCGGAAAGUGGCAAACGGGUGAGUAACACGUGGGAACGUACCUUUUGGUCUGGGACAACAGUUGGAAACGACUGCUAAUACCGGAUGAGCUCUACGGAGGAAAGAUUUAUCGCCGAAAGAUCGGCCCGCGUUAGAUUAGUUUGUUGGUGGGGUAAUGGCCUACCAAGACUACGAUCUAUAGCUGGUCUGAGAGGAUGAUCAGCCACACUGGGACUGAGAUACGGCCCAG
rnacentral:rRNA from 1 species